UGACCUCGGAUCAGGUAGGACUACCCGCUGAACUUAAGCAUAUCAAUAAGCGGAGGAAAAGAAACCAACAGGGAUUGCCUCAGUAACGGCGAGUGAAGCGGCAACAGCUCAAAUUUGAAAUCUGGCUCCCCUUGGGGGUCCGAGUUGUAAUUUGGAGAGGAUGUUUCUGGCGCGGCGCCUACCGGAGUUCCUUGGAACAGGACGCCACAGAGGGUGAGAGCCCCGUACGGUUGGCCGCCUAGCCUGCACGAAACUCCUUCGACGAGUCGAGUAGUUUGGGAAUGCUGCUCAAAAUGGGAGGUAAAUUUCUUCUAAAGCUAAAUACCGGCCAGAGACCGAUAGCGCACAAGUAGAGUGAUCGAAAGAUGAAAAGCACCUUGAAAAGAGGGUUAAACAGUACGUGAAAUUGUUGAAAGGGAAGCGCCUGCGACCAGACUCGCGCCCCGCGGACCAGCCGGCGUUCUCGCCGGUGCACUCCGCGGGGUGCGGGCCAGCAUCGGUUCUCCCUGGGGGAGAAAGGCUGCGGGAAAUGUAGCUCCUUCGGGAGUGUUAUAGCCCGUGGCGCCAUGCCCCAGGGGGGACCGAGGACCGCGCUUCGGCAAGGAUGCUGGCGUAAUGG
rnacentral:rRNA from 1 species